UACGGAGGGUGCAAACGUUGCUCGGAAUCAUUGGGCGUAAAGCGCACGUAGGUGGCCUGUUAAGUCGGGUGUGAAAUCCCUGGGCUCAACCCAGGAAGUGCACUCGAAACUGGCAGGCUUGAGUACUGAAGAGGGUCGCGGAAUUCCCGGUGUAGAGGUGAAAUUCGUAGAUAUCGGGAGGAACACCAGUGGCGAAGGCGGCGACCUGGGCAGAUACUGACACUGAGGUGCGAAGGUCAGGGGAGCAAACGGG
rnacentral:rRNA from 1 species